UACGGAGGAUGCAAGCGUUAUCCGGAAUGAUUGGGCGUAAAGCGUCCGCAGGUGGCAAUGUAAGUCUGCUGUGAAAGAGUCUAGCUCAACUAGAUAAAAGCAGUGGAAACUACAUAGCUAGAGUACGUUCGGGGCAGAGGGAAUUCCUGGUGUAGCGGUGAAAUGCGUAGAGAUCAGGAAGAACACCGGUGGCGAAGGCGCUCUGCUAGGCCGUAACUGACACUGAGGGACGAAAGCUAGGGGAGCGAAUGGG
rnacentral:rRNA from 1 species